UGAAAUCCUCUGCCAAUUUUUUAAUUUCUGUUUGAAUUUUCUUGUUGUAUGUGGUAUUCAUUAUAUACCAAUUCUUAAUUUCUUUGAUUGAUUAAUAGAAAAGGUUCAAAAUAAAAUUCCUUGAUCGAAUUGGAAUUUUCUUAUAUUUUAGCUUGACUAUGCCUUUUUUUUUUGUUUUGUAAAAACAAAUAUUGAAUUGCUAGAGCAUUUCAGAGAGAUUCUAGCACGGCAUCCAAACGCAUUUUAUUGUAUUACUCAGAAUUCUACACAUUGCAUGUGUCAGGUGAAAAUUUAUUGGCUUUAUCAUUAUGUAUGGAUAGCUGGCCAACCACCUGUAGAUGAAGAACAGGAUAUAUGUUGUAGUUGCCUACAUUGGUGGUUUUAUCUUUAGUAAUUUGUUUUUGUCUCCUGUUUUGCCCUCAUGCCUUGCAAUAUGAUUAGUGUAUGCCAGGCAUGACCAAGUUUAUAGGACAUUUUCUGUUGGCUUAGACUGAUAUAUGCACUAUUUGCUUAUCCCUUAUAGUCUAUUAUAUUGAAUAUUGUAGACCACAUUUUGUAUGUGUCUAGGUGAUUCUAAAUAGUAAAUAUCCUAAGCUUUACAACCAAGUACAAUUACAUUCAUUGCUUUUUUCUUCAUGAACUUUUGAAUUGUUG
rnacentral:misc_RNA from 1 species